rnacentral:rRNA from 1 species
GCAUAUCAAUAAGCGGAGGAAAAGAAACCAACAGGGAUUGCCUCAGUAACGGCGAGUGAAGCGGCAAGAGCUCAAAUUUGAAAUCUGGCCCCUUUGGGGUCCGAGUUGUAAUUUGUAGAGGAUGUUUCGGGUACCGCCUCGGUUUAAAUUUCUUGGAACAGAAUGUCAGAGAGGGUGAGAAUCCCGUCUUGGACCGGUGGUAGGGCCCGUGUGAAACUCCUUCGACGAGUCGAGUUGUUUGGGAAUGCAGCUCAAAAUGGGUGGUAAAUUUCAUCUAAAGCUAAAUAUUGGCCAGAGACCGAUAGCGCACAAGUAGAGUGAUCGAAAGAUGAAAAGCACUUUGAAAAGAGAGUUAAACAGUAUGUGAAAUUGUUGAAAGGGAAGCGCUUGCAACCAGACUUGUGCGCGGUGGUUCCCCUAUCCUUUUGGAUGGGUUACUCCGCCGCGUCCAGGCCAACAUCGGUUCUGGGGGUCGGUCAAAGGCCUUGGGAAUGUAUCUACCCUUCGGGCGUAGACUUAUAGCCCUUGGUGUCAUGCGACCUCCCGGGACCGAGGAACGCGCUUCGGCUCGGAUGUUGGCGUAAUGGUUGUCAGCGACCCGUCUUGAAACACGGACCAAGGAGUCUAACAUCUAUGCGAGUGUUUGGGUGUCAAACCCGGAACGCGGAAUGAAAGUGAACGGAGGUAGGAAGCUUCGGCUGCACUAUCGACCGAUCCUGAUGUCUUCGGAUGGAUUUGAGUAAGAGCAUAGCUGUUGGGACCCGAAAGAUGGUGAACUAUGCCUGAAUAGGGUGAAGCCAGAGGAAACUCUGGUGGAGGCUCGCAGCGGUUCUGACGUGCAAAUCGAUCGUCAAAUUUGGGUAUAGGGGCGAAAGACUAAUCGAACCAUCUGGUAGCUGGUUCCUGCGA